UACAUUUACGUCCCGUUCAUCAGUUGAUGGCCAUUUUGGUAAUUCCAUGUCUUGAUUACUGUGAAGAGAGCCACGAUGAACACAGGAAUACUAAAGAAGUUAAUUUGGCCCAGGACUGAAAAAAAAUGGCAUCAUAAAGGAGAUAACAUUGGAUGGAAUGGUCAGAUGUGGAGAAAAAGUAAAACUAUGACUCAUCUAAUCUUCAUUCAGCUGAUGGAUGCUAAGUGUGAAUCACAGAUGUCUGUAAAUCAGGUCCCCACCUCCAGGGCUGCAGAAUCUGGAGGAAAACUAAAGAUUAAAGUGCAC
rnacentral:lncRNA from 1 species